AGUGAACGCUGGCGGUAGGCCUAACACAUGCAAGUCGAACGGCAGCACAGGAGAGCUUGCUCUCUGGGUGGCGAGUGGCGGACGGGUGAGGAAUACAUCGGAAUCUACUCUGUCGUGGGGGAUAACGUAGGGAAACUUACGCUAAUACCGCAUACGACCUACGGGUGAAAGCAGGGGAUCUUCGGACCUUGCGCGAUUGAAUGAGCCGAUGUCGGGUUAGCUAGUUGGCGGGGCAAAGGCCCACCAAGGCGACGAUCCGUAGCUGGUCUGAGAGGAUGAUCAGCCACUCUGGAACUGAGACACGGUCCAGACUCCUACGGGAGGCAGCAGUGGGGAAUAUUGGACAAUGGGCGCAAGCCUGAUCCAGCCAUACCGCGUGGGUGAAGAAGGCCUUCGGGUUGUAAAGCCCUUUUGUUGGGAAAGAAAUCCAUCUGGUUAAUACCCGGGUGGGAUGACGGUACCCAAAGAAUAAGCACCGGCUAACUUCGUGCCAGCAGCCGCGGUAA
rnacentral:rRNA from 1 species